rnacentral:lncRNA from 1 species
GCAAGAUUGGUUAAGCAUCUGACAGAAAAUGGGAUUGGACCAACAAGUCUAUUGGAGGAUAGAUCCAAUGCAAAUAAAUUCGUUAGUCUCCCAAUUUCUUGAGGAAUGGAUCCAUUAAGUUUGUUGCUUUGAAGGAACAACGAGGCAAGACUGGUUAAGCUGCUGACAGAAGAUGGGAUUGGACCAACAAGACUAUUGGAGGAUAGAUCCAAUGCAGAUAAAUUCGUUAGUCUCCCUAUUUCUUGAGGAAUGGAUCCAUUAAGUUUGUUGCUUUGAAGGAACAACGAGUCAAGACUGGUUAAGUUGCUGACAGAAGAUGGGAUUGGACCAACAAGACUAUUGGAGGAUAGAUCCAAUGCAAAUAAAUUCGUUAGUCUCC